rnacentral:ncRNA from 1 species
CGACGAAGCGGAAGCGAGAAUGUCGGCUUGAGUAACGAAAACAUUGGUGAGAAUCCAAUGCCCCGAAAACCCAAGGUUUCCUCCGCAAGGUUCGUCCACGGAGGGUGAGUCAGGGCCUAAGAUCAGGGGGCUACCUUGUUACGACUUCACCCCAGUCGAAGACCCCACCGUGGUAUGCGCCAAUAAGGAAAAGGAUAGGUGCAGAGACUCAAUGGAAGCUGUUCUAACGAAUCGAGUUAAUUACGUUGU